AUCCCAAGGUCAUCCUCUCGCCA
rnacentral:siRNA from 1 species